rnacentral:lncRNA from 1 species
CCUUCAACCCCCACUGCUCCCAUCUGAUUCUAAGAGGUUAAAAGUCAUGAUGAUAAACUGCCUCUAAUAUAUUUGUCAACCUUGACCUUGGACAGAACUCUUCCCUCCUCACCUGAUCACACAGAGACAGUCUGCACAUCCUUCCAUGGCACACUGAAUCAUUGCAAGCUUGAGCCAUCAGCUCUUUGAUGGGGGCGGCAUUCCGAGGCUCAGACCUUCACAGGGAGCACUAUGGAAGUCAACAUCUCUGCCUUGUUCUUAUGAUCAGUUUGCACAGAUAGGCAAAUCCUGCUCAUAAGCAAUCCCUCGGUAGUCUCACAUGGUCUCUGCAGCAGACAUCAUGACCAUAGUGAUGAAGGAAACAUCUCUUCAUCAUUUUGUUGUCCCUGGUUUUGCAGAAAAGAGGGAAAAUGAGUAUUAUCCAGCGUUCAGAGGAGGCAAAGAAGAAAGAAGCACAUAAUUGGCAAAUUCCUGAGAAAGUGUCACUCAAAACAUGAUGGGAGUCUCCAAGGAAAAGUUGCUUUCCUUUCAAAGUAUUCCCAUUAAAAAGCUUUGAAAACUUGCCUCUGAAAACUUAUUUCAAGGCUGUGCCUUCUCUGAGAUCUAAUCAAGGCUGCACAUCUAAAACUAUAUAAAUUAACACUCUCAUUAGGGCCCUGAAUAGCUACAGGCUGUGUAUGAGACUCAGUAAAACAUCCCCAUUUAAAUGUAAAUUUUGACAUUCCACCCAAGAUGGAGAAAAAAAGUCUCCCCA